GUGCCAGCAGCCGCGGUAAUACAGAGACCUCAAGCGUUAUCCGGAAUCAUUGGGCGUAAAGCGUACCGAUAGGUGGUUUUGUUAGUCUUGGGUAAAAGCCAGAAGCUCAACUUCUGCGUUUGCUCAAGAUACUGCAAGACUAGAGGAGUAAAGAGGUUGCUGGAACGAACGGUGUAGUAGUGAAAUGCGUUGAUAUCGUUCGGAACACCGAAAGCGAAGGCAGGCAACUGGGUACUACCUGACACUGCUAGGACGAAAGCGUGGGGAGCGAAUGGGAUUAGAUACCCCAGUAGUCC
rnacentral:rRNA from 1 species